rnacentral:rRNA from 1 species
AGAGUUUGAUCCUGGCUCAGAUUGAACGCUGGCGGCAGGCCUAACACAUGCAAGUCGAGCGGAUGACGGGAGCUUGCUCCUUGAUUCAGCGGCGGACGGGUGAGUAAUGCCUAGGAAUCUGCCUGGUAGUGGGGGACAACGUUUCGAAAGGAACGCUAAUACCGCAUACGUCCUACGGGAGAAAGCAGGGGACCUUCGGGCCUUGCGCUAUCAGAUGAGCCUAGGUCGGAUUAGCUUGUUGGUGAGGUAAUGGCUCACCAAGGCGACGAUCCGUAACUGGUCUGAGAGGAUGAUCAGUCACACUGGAACUGAGACACGGUCCAGACUCCUACGGGAGGCAGC